UGGUCUGUAACUGACGCUGAGGCUCGAAAGCGUGGGGAGCGAACAGGAUUAGAUACCCUGGUAGUCCACGCCGUAAACGAUGAGUGCUAAGUGUUGGAGGGUUUCCGCCCUUCAGUGCUGCAGCAAACGCAUUAAGCACUCCGCCUGGGGAGUACGACCGCAAGGUUGAAACUCAAAGGAAUUGACGGGGGCCCGCACAAGCGGUGGAGCAUGUGGUUUAAUUCGAAGCAACGCGAAGAACCUUACCAGGUCUUGACAUCCUUUGACCACUCUAGAGAUAGAGCUUCCCCUUCGGGGGCAAAGUGACAGGUGGUGCAUGGUUGUCGUCAGCUCGUGUCGUGAGAUGUUGGGUUAAGUCCCGCAACGAGCGCAACCCUUAUUGUUAGUUGCCAUCAUUUAGUUGGGCACUCUAGCGAGACUGCCGGUGACAAACCGGAGGAAGGUGGGGAUGACGUCAAAUCAUCAUGCCCCUUAUGACCUGGGCUACACACGUGCUACAAUGGGAAGUACAACGAGUUGCGAAGUCGCGAGGCUAAGCUAAUCUCUUAAAGCUUCUCUCAGUUCGGAUUGUAGGCUGCAACUCGCCUACAUGAAGCCGGAAUCGCUAGUAAUCGCGGAUCAGCACGCCGCGGUGAAUACGUUCCCGGGCCUUGUACACAC
rnacentral:rRNA from 1 species